GUCGAGUUAGAUAUUUUUUGAAUUUUCACAGAACUUGAGAUUAAAUUACCGAUUUCCGAAAUAGUUUACAUUUGUUAAUUUCAGUAUGGAAAUUUGAAGAUAGUUUUGUCUCUGUUACUAUGAUUCCAUAUCUGAAACAAUCUUACUAUAUGGAGUGAAAAAUGUUUGCAUCUUCUUCGCAAUUGGAAGUCUUGUUAGAAAAAUCAUUCUUAGCAAAGUCAAAGACAUGCUUAGUUUCUGGUUUAUACUCAAUCAUUUGGAUACAUCAGACAUUUUAGCACAAUGCAACGACGAGGAAAUGGCUGUCCCUUAGAAUCCAUUCUGAUGCGAUGACAUUAUUUGAAGUAAAUGCCAACUUCAUUCCGAAGCCUCCUGUAACAGAACGAGCUAUCCUUUCAUAUUGCCUUCUAAGAUUAAUUGAAUUGCUAGUAUUAGACCUUGAUCUUGCUCAAUAGAGACGUAAUAUUUAUAUGGAGGUCUACGUAUAUGAAACAAUCCGAAAUUUUUUAAAUCGCCAAGUAUUUCUUGGAGGGUUUAAUCAUGGAACUAUGUAUUAUGUAAAAAUCAUAUCUCCUCGGACAGAAAAGGUUUCGAGAAGAACACUCCUUUGACCACGAACACCUUGCAAAUAUUUCUAUGCCGUUACUUAAUGCUUGAAUUACAUCGCACAAGAAAGUUCCAAGUCCUCGAUCUUUCCUGAGGAAUUCGGUAUUAUGCGUCUGUAGAAAAAUAUAUUCUAAUACUGUGUACAUUGGUAUGGUCAGACUUCAGGAUAUUCAUUUGAUAAAGAAUUUCCAAAAUUCUUAUGACAAUUACUUGGAUUAAAGAAAAUUCAUGUCUUCAAGCGACGACUUAUUCUCCCAGUGGACAUACGAUUGUUUUCUGCUUAGAUUUUCAAUAUGGACUUUUAACGACUUUUGAAACAUUGUCUGCGUCAAUGGCAAUUCCUCCUAUAACCUAAUGUAUAUUCAGUUCUUUUGGUAAGCUGAAUGAU